CUAAAUCCCUCAUAUUCCAUACGGGAAAGCAGAGACUCAAAGAAGUAGUAGUAAGUAACAGAGUCAAGCUUGAAAGUGGGAGAACUCAAUACUUUUUCUUCCCUCUGUACAACACUGCAUCUCACACCAGACUGAUCAUUCCCAGAAGUCAGAGGCCUCUGGGUAAUGUGUAAAUCACAAAAAAUACCCCUCUGAAGACAAAAGGUGGUGAUGUCACAAGGCUAGCGGGUCACAGGCUCUCCAUUUACUUACCUUAAGCUGGCUCUUUCCGAUGAUAUAAUUGGAUGUUAAUCAUGGCCUUGACAGAAACAUCAAGGAUUGGCUGGAGACAUAUAAACCUCUGCCCCAUGUUUCAGAGUUUAAAAGCUUAAAAGCUUCAGAGGGGAUUGUGUUGUGGCUCCCCUUCUGGUCUUUACACAGACUGUGGGACUUCAUGGAGCCAGCUGACUACUGAGCUAUUUGGAAACUGAAGCUGAGAGAGGUUGCCUUCCCCAGGGUCAGAUGAAACCUGGAGAACAGAAUGUCACAGGAUCAUGGAUUUGAAAGUGGAGGAGCCUCAAAAGCCAGCAAGACUAACUACCUUGUGUAACAAAUGAGGAAACCCUGACCUAGGGAGCUUAUGUGACUUCCUUUGG